rfam:Gallus gallus breed Red Jungle fowl, inbred line TCD001 Contig882.1, whole genome shotgun sequence. [11-NOV-2016]
GUGCUCACUUCAGCAACAUGUAUACUAAAAUUGGAACAAUGCAGAGAUUUCCAUGGCCCCUGUGCUAGAAUGACACACAAAUCUAUAAGUAGCUUCAUAUUUUU